ensembl:lncRNA
UCUCCUUUGCUGGUUCUUCCGGGAUGGGAUUACUGCCCUUCUAAGAAAAGGGAGAGACCAGAGCUCCUUCACUCUCAGCCCUAUGAGGACACAGUGAGAAGGUGGCUGUCUGCACGCCAGGAAGCAGACCCACACCAAGAAUCGAAUCUGCCGGCACCCUGGUCUUGUACUUCUCAACCUCCAGAACUUAGUCAGCCAACAAGCGUGUCUGCCUCUGUGGUCACGAGGGGUGUAUUGACCUUGUUCCCGUAGACAUCUUCUCAUUGAUUCCAUCCAGAACUUUCCAAACUGGGGCCAGGUGUGUGAGAAGACUUGUGAACGCCCUUUCUCAAUCAGAGCAAACCCAGACCUAAGCUGGUCCGUGGGAGGACGAGAGACCGAACGGAGCAGAGCCGAGUCGCCCCAGCUGUGAGCAUCUGAGACCACCUAGGCCCAGCUGACUUUCCGGCUGACCACAGGCACAGAAGUUUGGUUCCCAGGCGUGGACCUAUACGACUCGUCGCCCAUGCUGUCGCAGCAACCCACAUACAAAAUAGAGGAAGAUUGGCAGCAGAUGUUAGCUCAGGACGAAUCUUCCUCAGCAAAAAAAUAAAAAUAAAAAUAAAUAAGAGAAGUGGACAGAACCUUGGAGAAUGCCAACAUUUUAGGGGGGAGCAGAGUGAGAGAAGAAAGAGGGCAACUGCAAAGAGCAGAUGUCAAGAGGCUGUGGAAUCAACGUGUCUUGAGAAAGCGGAGAUGGAGACUUCGACCACUUCUUUUCAAUUAGUUCGCUUCACCAUCUGGAUCACCAUUGGAGCGCUGAGAAGCCAGAAGGAGAGGUGGCCUCCAGAUGUCUCUAGGGAGCCAACCAGGUUUCUGACAUUUAAGCUCUGCCCCCGUAGAUUUCUUGCAGCACAAGGACUUUGGAAUAAAUAACGGUGGUUUCAAAAUUUGGGACCCUCUUCUCCUGCAUGUCAGCCUGGAUAUACUGGAGGAAAACACCAGCAUAAUGCCUGUUCCUAGGAAUUUAUGUUUCCAAUCACCUGAUCACCUAGCUUUAAAGCUGGUCUAGAAAAGAAAAAGAAAGGAUGACUGAAUCCAGUAAAUGAAGAAAAGUGACCAAUGUUGUGAGGCUUCUGCAAUCGCAAAAUGACAACCCUUUAGCCUUUUCACUAGUGUCAUGUGAUGGUAGGUGAUCUAGACACCCAUCGAAGGAAAACCGAUCUUAAAAAAAGAAUGGACGAGACAGCCUGGUAAACUACUCACUGGAAUGCAAGGCAGAAUGGAGUACUGUAGCUCUCUCAGGAAGAUGGAAACUACGCGUGUUGUUGAAAACAGAAGAAGCAAUCUCGGAGAAGAUUGAGCCAGGAAUUGGGGAGACCUUUGGGAGCAGACCCAGAUGUGGGCGAUGGGAUCAACAGCCAGGCCCAGCAGAAUGCCUAGAGUUUCCAAAUUGCUCUGGGUGACAUCUGCUUGUCACCAGUGAAACCAAAAGGACAGCAGGGUAGAUUGCCUUCCACAGGACAGACAGAAAUAUGUCAGAAGACAUUCACAUGGAAACUGUGUCCAUGGUUAUACUCAAAGGUUUACUCGAAUUCCGCCUAGAAACCUGGCUCCUAUGCUCUGGACAAAAUCCUCUGUCAUUGAGUGUUUGAAGACACGAGAAUACAGCUGUUGGCAGAGGCGUGAAAUACCACUACUCCCUGAAACUGAAGGUUUGAAUCCUACUAAGGAUCACGCAGCUCUGCAUCAUUCAAG